ensembl:lncRNA
GGAGAUCUGGGAGGCAUUAAUGGGAGGUGAUAUGCUGAAAGUUCUACUUUACCAUUUCAGUGUGUGUGUGUAUCAGCUAUAAAUCCUUGGGUAUCUUAACUGGUCACCUAGUCCGGCUUACACGAGCACGGCUACACAGCAAAGAGCUAUUACUUACUGUCCAACAACUGAUUCAAAAACAAAUCUGACAACAUAAGGCCCGAAAGGCUUUCAUCGACUUCCAGCCUGUUGGAACCAACAUCCCAGAGUAUCUUCGCCAGGCAAUGAAGAGACCUGAACCAUUUGUACUUGCUCUUGGCAACAGUCAGGUUUCUCAAGCAUUUACUGUAAUAAAUGGAGAGGCGCUUGAGAACAGAACCUUGCUGGGAGCAGUUGAUACCUGUUUCAAGGCGUUUUACUUCUUUGACAUCAACUACCCCAAGCAAUGUGCCCC